CACAGGGGGAAGUGAAGAGUCUUGGAGAGCCAUCUCAACAGUGCCGAGCUGUGCUUUGUCCCAGGCCUCCCGGAGCUGGCCUGUGGGGUCACCUUGAAGGAACAGAAACAGUGGCCACACUUUGUUUUGAAGCUCUCUGUCUCCCAUGGUUGCUCUGACAUGUUCUGUGUAAGAACCUCACAUUCAUCCUCCUGAGACAAGAAAAUCUGAGGACCUGGCCACCAUCAAUCAGGAGGGCCCCUUUCGGACAGAGUCCCCACCUGCCACCUCCCCACCGGCCAGCCCCAUUUGGUCCAGGGUGUGGAUUGCUUUUAGCAUCUUCUCUGUUCCAGGUGGUUCCUGGUGGGCAGGGUUGCAAGACCGAUGUCAUUCAACAUGCAGGACACGAUCCAGAGUAAUGUCACCAGAAGAGCCUCCUGGGCCCCUCACCUCAGACGGGAGGCGAGGGGCUGACCAGGCAGCGCCCACGAGUGGCCGUUUAAAUACAAAGACUUGUACCGUUUCUGAUCGUGUUUGGCCCAUGGUGGUUGGCUGUAAGCAAACUGCACCGAAUCCCAUGAAAGAGCAAUAUGAACAUACCCCCAGACCACUGGGGACUCGGAGACGGGAGUGGUUUUUGUAUCAAUGGAGACAAGUAAAGGCUGCAGCUGUCCCUGCUGUAACCCGAGCUCCAGCUGCUCACAUCUCUCCGUUGUCUCUGGACUUUCUCACUUCAGGGUGUGAUGUGGGCACCCGGCCUCUGAGUCCCUGUGGGACCAGCCACUGA
rnacentral:lncRNA from 1 species